GAUAAUCAAUGAUAAGGUGAAAUUAAAUCUAAAUUGUCUUUCCUCUUGUUUGUACCGAGGUUGUAACAAUAAAUAACUAAGGGGUUUGGGGAGAACGGAGUAACUUCUUUAUUAAUGACGAACGGAAAGACAGUAAUUAACAGAACGGAAAACCGUAAGUACAGAACGGAGAACCGAAAGUACAAGUCGGAAAACUAAUAUUAAUGGUCGGAAAACCUGAAAAUACAGAACGGAAAACCAAAAAGUAAGAGAUAAAGAGCUAGGCAACAAUUCUCUCUUAAAUUCUCUAAGUGGUGACUUAGGUUCUCCAAUCCCUUCUUAGUAGUGGAUCUCCUCUUAUUUAUAGGCAAGAAGCUGAUCUAGGGUUCUCUUAGUCUCUCUUGCGAUAUCUCCGUUUUGCCCUUCUGAAUUUAUCAGGCUGGGCCGAGCCGUGAUGGGCCGAGCAGUCAUUCUGAUGGGCCGUUGUUCUGAUGGGCCGUUCUUCCUUGUUAGGAGCCUUAUUGACUUGUUCUAUUUGUGUUUGGGCCGAAUUGGGCAUAGAGGGCAAAGCCCGUAUCCCAUAAUUAGUCCCCCCCGAGUUCGUCGAGAGAAGGUUUCUUGCGAUUGGCGAAUAUUUUUCUGAAACCGGAAACAUGCCAAUUUGGCCCGAACCAAAGAAAAAUUCUUUGUUUGAGCAAGUGUGGAUUUUUGCAAGAGUCGGAGAAUCGCAAUAGGUGGAAAGAUAUAUGCUCGUUUGAGAGCUCGACGAUCUUCGAAGAUAGAUGAUUGUAGGAGAGCUUGACUAUCUUCGGAGAUAGGCGCUCGUGGGAGAGCUGGAAGAUCUUUGAAGAUAGGCGCAUGCGAGAGAGCUUGAAGAUCCUGAAGAAAGGUGCUCAUGGGAGAGCUUGAUGAGUUUGGAGAUAGUCGCUCGUGGGAGAUCUAUAAGAUCUUCUGAGAUAGGCGCUAGCAAGAGUGUCUGACGAUCUUGGAGAUAGGCGCUCGUGGAAGAGCUUUAAGAUCUUUGGAUGUAUGUGCUCGCAGGAGACGGAAGAGCUCGACGAUUUUGGAGAUAGGCGCUCGUGGGAGAGCUUGACGAUUUUGGAGAUAGGCGCUAGUGUGAGAGCUUGAUGAUUUUGGAGAUAGGCGCUUGUGUGAGAGCUUGACAAUUUCGGAGAUAGGCGCUCGUGUGGGAGGUUGAUGAUUUCGGAUAUAGGCGCUCGUGGAAGAGCUUUAAGAUCUUUGGAUGUAUGUGCUCGCAAGAGACGGAAGAGCUCAACGAUUUUGGAGAUAGGCGCUCGUGGGAGAGCUUGACGAUUUUGGAGAUGUGCGCUCGUGGGAGAGCAAAAAGAUCUUUUGAGAUAGGAGCUCGCGGGAGAGCUUGAUGAUUUUUGGAGAUAGGUGCUCGUGGUAGAGCUUUAAGAUCUUUGGAUGUAUGUGCUCGCAUGAGACGGAAGAGCUCGACGAUUUUGGAGAUUGUGGGAGAGCUUGACGAUUUUGGAGAUGUGCGCUUUUGCGAGAGUUAGUGAUUUUGAAGAGUUAGGCGUUUGUGCAAGAGCAAAGUUGUUUUAACGAGGAAAGUCUCGGUGAAGAUACUAAAAUCGAUGCAAGGCGUGCUGGUCUUGUAUAAAAGAGCUCGAUGAGGUCAAA
rnacentral:sRNA from 1 species